rnacentral:rRNA from 1 species
UACGUAGGUGGCGAGCGUUGUCCGGAUUUACUGGGCGUAAAGAGCGCGCAGGCGGUCGUUCAAGUCGCGUGUGAAAGCCCCCGGCUCAACUGGGGAGGGUCACGCGAUACUGAUCGACUCGAAGGCAGGAGAGGGAAGUGGAAUUCCCGGUGUAGUGGUGAAAUGCGUAGAUAUCGGGAGGAACACCAGUGGCGAAGGCGACUUCCUGGCCUGUUCGUUGACGCUGAGGCGCGAAAGCUAGGGGAGCAAAGCGGGAUUAAGAAACCCUGAGUAGUCCGAGUAACCAAAC